UCCCGCCUUCACUCCCGGCCCUAGGGGGUCGGAGUAGGUCCAGCAGGAGUGACCCCCCGGGGCUGUGGGAUCUGAAACUUUUUCUUCUCUACUGCUUGUUCUCCCUUCCUCCAUCCCUCACCCCGAAGCGGGAAGCAGCUUUCUCUUCCCAGCUUCCAUCCAGUCUCUGAGUAGACCAGUCGCAGCUUAGAUGCUGGGAUCGCCUCAGAACACAUUUCUUUGCCCUUCACGGCCACUACCGGUAUUGGGGUAUGCGAGUCUCAGGGCCGUUCGUUGCUCACAGGUCGAGCUGGUCUGGACUCUGUUCGACCACGAAUCAUGACUCCUUCCUGCCAGUUAUGUCCCCUCCGCACCCUUGCCCAGCCAUUUUACCAGGCCUCUCCACAUUGCGCUGCCCCACGGACCUUAUCAAGCUUGAAGAUCUUUAAAAAGAAAAGUAAAAGUAAUGCAAGAGAACAAAAAGAUUGUCAGUGAAAGAUAUAUAAUUGCAUUAAGAUGUGGCCCUAAUCUUUCCACAGUCAAGCGUGUACUACUAUUUCACAGCAUUUUCCUUUCCAAACUGUGUGCCAAAUAAAUCGGGGUCUCCAACCCCAGAGCCGUGAACUGGUACCCGUCUGUGGCUUGUUAGGAAUGGAGCAGCACAGGAUGAAGUGAGUGGUGGAUCUGUCAAGUGGAAGACAUUCUGUAUUGCUCCAGGCAGCCUAACUACCAGCAAUGGAAGGAAAUAAAGGGAAACAGAUUUCAGCUCAGCAGGAGGCAGAACUUUCUAACAUUUAGAGCUGUCCAACAGUGGAGCAGGCUGCAUUACUUGAGGGAGUGAGCUCCCUGAAAUUUGAACUGUUGAACAGGAAGAUGACCAUCUGGCUGAAUGUACAGGAGGGAAUUCCUGCCUGGGCAACAGUUGCACUAGUGACCUUUAAGCAGGUAUCUUCCAAUUUUAAGGUUUCUAGACUGUUCAACUCAGCUAACUUGACCUCUGAAUAUAUGAGUUAUGGUGUUACAAAAAUUAUUAGACAGUUCAUUUAUUGACUUACCUAAAAUAACUGCAUGGUGAAGUUUAUGAUAAGCAAGAUUUUAGAAACUGAGAAGUGGGAAGGCAGGUUUUACACUGAAAAUCCAGAUACCAUCCAAACCAAUUAAUGGC
rnacentral:lncRNA from 1 species